UACGGGGGGGGCAAGCGUUGUUCGGAAUUACUGGGCGUAAAGGGCUCGUAGGUGGCCAACUAAGUCAGACGUGAAAUCCCUCAGCUUAACUGGGGAACUGCGUCUGAUACUGGCGAGCUUGAGUGCAGGAGAGGAACGCGGAAUUCCAGGUGUAGCGGUGAAAUGCGUAGAUAUCUGGAGGAACACCGGUGGCGAAGGCGGCGUUCUGGACUGCAACUGACACUGAGAAACGAAAGCCAGGGUAGCAAACGGG
rnacentral:rRNA from 1 species